CCUACGGGAGGCAGCAGUGGGGAAUUUUGGACAAUGGGCGAAAGCCUGAUCCAGCCAUUCCGCGUGCAGGACGAAGGCCUUCGGGUUGUAAACUGCUUUUGUACGGAACGAAAAAGCUCUUACUAAUACUAGGAGUCCAUGACGGUACCGUAAGAAUAAGCACCGGCUAACUACGUGCCAGCAGCCGCGGUAAUACGUAGGGUGCGAGCGUUAAUCGGAAUUACUGGGCGUAAAGCGUGCGCAGGCGGUUAUAUAAGACAGAUGUGAAAUCCCCGGGCUCAACCUGGGAACUGCAUUUGUGACUGUAUAGCUAGAGUGCGGCAGAGGGGGAUGGAAUUCCGCGUGUAGCAGUGAAAUGCGUAGAUAUGCGGAGGAACACCGAUGGCGAAGGCAAUCCCCUGGGCCUGCACUGACGCUCAUGCACGAAAGCGUGGGGAGCAAACAGGAUUAGAUACCCUGGUAGUCCACGCCCUAAACGAUGUCAACUGGUUGUUGGGUCUUCACUGACUCAGUAACGAAGCUAACGCGUGAAGUUGACCGCCUGGGGUGGUACGGCGCGAGUAGUUAACGUUACAANAGAGNGCGGCGNGAGACGNGCCGACGGACGACGACGAGGGAGGAGG
rnacentral:rRNA from 1 species